rnacentral:rRNA from 1 species
AGUGAACGCUGGCGGUAGGCCUAACACAUGCAAGUCGAACGGCAGCACAGUAAGAGCUUGCUCUUACGGGUGGCGAGUGGCGGACGGGUGAGGAAUACAUCGGAAUCUACUUUUUCGUGGGGGAUAACGUAGGGAAACUUACGCUAAUACCGCAUACGACCUACGGGUGAAAGCAGGGGAUCUUCGGACCUUGCGCGAUUGAAUGAGCCGAUGUCGGAUUAGCUAGUUGGCGGGUUAAAGGCCCACCAAGGCGACGAUCCGUAGCUGGUCUGAGAGGAUGAUCAGCCACACUGGAACUGAGACACGGUCCAGACUCCUACGGGAGGCAGCAGUGGGGAAUAUUGGACAAUGGGCGCAAGCCUGAUCCAGCCAUACCGCGUGGGUGAAGAAGGCCUUCGGGUUGUAAAGCCCUUUUGUUGGGAAAGAAAAGCAGCAGGUUAAUACCCCGCUGUGCUGACGGUACCCAAAGAAUAAGCACCGGCUAACUUCGUG